AGUUUCGGAAACUCCCUUGGUGUUUCUCAAGAACCCCACCACAACCACAAGGAAGAAGAAGAUAAUCAGAUAACUCUUUGCAUUACUCCGCUUCUGGAUAUCGAUUUUCUCUCCGUCUACGACUACUAUUCAACUGACUUCAGUUUCCGAGAAAGGAAAGCAAUUGAUUUGAGAUUCUCUCUCUUUGACUUUGAAUUUGAAUGUCUUAGUAGUUGAGAGUUUGAACUUGGUGAAGGGAUUUUGCGAAUGGAGAGAUCUAGAUCGAAGAGGAACUAUCAUCACUACGACCAAGACUACGACGGAGACUCCAUCCCAAGGUCCAAACCUCGCUACACCAACAACAACAACAACAACUACCACCACUUCACCGGCGGCGGCGGUGGCGGAGGUAACAACAACAGAUACCGCGGCGGAGGAAACGGCCGUCCAUCGAAGUCCCACCCCGAGACCAUGGCGACAACGACCUACCGCGUCCUCUGCCACGACGCCAAAGCGGGAGGCGUGAUCGGCAAAUCAGGAUCCAUCAUCAAGUCCAUCCGACAGCACACCGGAGCCUGGAUCAACGUCCACGAGCUCGUCCCCGGAGACGCGGAGCGCAUCAUCGAGAUCUCCGACAACCGCCGCCGCGAUCCCGACGGUAGGUUGCCGUCUUUCUCCCCCGCGCAGGAGGCUCUCUUCAGCGUCCACGACAGGAUCCUCGAGAGCGAGCCUCAGUUCGGGGUGGAUGACGAGGAGGAUGAUGAUUACGGUGAAGGAGGCAGAGUCGUGACGAGGCUUGUGGUUUCGAAGCUUCAUGUCGGUUGCUUGUUGGGUAAAGGCGGGAAGAUCAUCGAGCAGAUGAGGAUUGAGACCAAGACUCUUAUCAGGAUUUUACCAAGAGAGACUAGCUUGCCUCGUUGCGUCUCCUUGUCUGAAGAGAUUGUUCAGAUUGUAGGUGAAGCUUCUGCGGUGAGAAACGCGUUAGCUAUUGUAUCAUCGCGUCUAAGAGAGAGUCAACAUCGUGACCGUAGUCAUUUACAGGGUCGUGUACAUUCUUCACCAGAACGGUCUUUUUCGCCUGCUGAUGAUUACAUCCCACAACAGCAGAGAAGACAAUCGUCGGAUCGGUUUCAUCAUAGGAAUAACAGUAGUUUCAACUCUCGGCAAUCCAACUAUGCAGAAGAAGAAGAAGAAGAAGCUCCGGUUGGUGACAAUGCUGCGCAGCCUUGCUACACUGAAGAGCUCGUGUUCCGGAUUCUCUGUCCUGUUGACAAGAUUGUUAACGUUGUUGGGGAAUCAGAAGGAAUAGUAGAUUUGCUUCAGAGCGAGAUUGGGGUAGACUUGAGGGUGUCUGAACCUGUUGCUGGAUCUGAUGAGCAGAUAAUUACCAUUUCUUCAGAAGAGGCUCCUGAUGACCAGCUUUUCCCUGCUCAAGAAGCUUUGUUGCACAUUCAGACUCGGAUUGUAGACCUUGUUCCUGAUAAAGAUAACCUUAUCACAACGAGAUUGAUUGUCUCAUCUAGAGACUCGGUAUGUUUGGAAGGGAAAGCAGGAUCGGUAUCUGAGAUAUCGCGAUUAACUGGAGCUAGCGUACAUAUCCUAGCAAGGGAAGAGAUGCCUCGAUGUGUUUCCAUCAAUGAUGUUGUUGUACAGAUAACUGGGGAGAUCAGAGCAGCUCGAGAUGCACUUGUUGAGUUAACGUUACGGUUGAGGAGUCAUAUGUACAGGGAGCUCUCUCAGAAGGAGACACCACCGGCUUCAACAUCCACAACUGGCCCUCUUGAAGGUGUUGCAGGGGUAAUAGAGGUAGCUUCAUCAAAUAACACGAAUCAACCCCGUGAAGGACUCUCAAUCGCACCACAAUAUAAGGAAAGUGGUGGAUCAGUUGCAAAGGCGGGUGAAAGUGAACACCGGAAUGAGGUUCCUAACACGGGAAGCAGAAUGUCGGUGCCACUUGUUACUAGGAGCACUCUUGAAGUUGUCUUACCGGACCAGGUUAUUCCUAAGCUUGUUACGAAAUCAAGAAACAAGCUUGCACAAAUCAGUGAGUGGUCUGGAGCUAGUGUAACCUUAGUUGAAGAUCGACCUGGAGAAACACAGAAUGUGAUUAGAAUUUCGGGUACGCCAGAGCAGGCAGAGAGAGCACAGAGCUUGCUUCAAGGCUUCAUCUUGAGCAUACAAGACGAUGGACCGUGAAGUUGGACAUGGGCAACGCAGGGAUUCAAUCAGAGAAACUAAGAAAAUGUGGAGUUUGUAUGAAUUGUUGAGUUAUAGGAUUUGAGUGUAAGUGGUAGAGGUUUAGUGAUACAAGAGCAAGCGUUUUAUCCACCAGCUGGAUAUGUAUUUAGCAAUUGGUUCGUGGGUCGGACUUGGACACCAGCGACCUUGGAUGUGGAUCACACUCCUGCAGAUUCUCGACCAUUGACAAGCUCUUUGAUAUCCACAUUGGUUGAUGGACAUGCAAACACCAAUAGAGAGAACAUAGUGAGAGGUUUUGUGUAGAAAAAAGAAAGUA